CGUGGGGCGGGCUAUACAUGCAGUCGAGCGAUGGAUUAAGAGCUUGCUCUUAUGAAGUUAGCGGCGGACAAGGUGAGUAACACGUGGGUAACCUGCCCAUAAGACUGGGAUAACUCCGGGAAACCGGGGCUAAUACCGGAUAACAUUUUGAACCGCAUGGUUCGAAAUUGAAAGGCGGCUUCGGCUGUCACUUAUAGAUGGACCCGCGUCGCAUUAGCUAGUUGGUGAGGUAACGGCUCACCAAGGCAACGAUGCGUAGCCGACCUGAGAGGGUGAUCGGCCACACUGGGACUGAGACACGGCCCAAACUCCUACGGGAGGCAGCAGUAGGGAAUCUUCCGCAAUGGACGAAAGUCUGACGGAGCAACGCCGCGUGAGUGAUGAAGGCUUUCGGGUCGUAAAACUCUGUUGUUAGGGAAGAACAAGUGCUAGUUGAAUAAGCUGGCACCUUGACGGUACCUACCAGAAAGCCGCGGGUUACUACGUGCCAGCACCCGCGGUAAUACGUUGGUGGCAAGCGUUAUCCGGAUUUAUUGGGCGUAAAGCGCGCGCAGG
rnacentral:rRNA from 1 species